UUUCCGUAGGUGAACCUGCGGAAGGGUCAUUAAAGAGUAAGGGUCUUCGGGCCCGAUCUCCAACCCUUUGUUUAACUACCAUGUUGCUUUGGCGGGCCCGUCUCACGACCGCCGGAAGUUUGGCUUCGACCAAACUUCUGGCCCGUGCCCGUCAGUGGCCCCUUCAAAUUCUUGAUCAAGUAUGAUGUCUUAGUUAAAACCUUAAUAGUUAAAACUUUCAACAACGGAUCUCUUGGUUCUG
rnacentral:misc_RNA from 1 species